rnacentral:rRNA from 1 species
UACGUAGGGGGCAAGCGUUGUCCGGAAUUAUUGGGCGUAAAGCGCGCGCAGGCGGUUCUUUAAGUCUGGGGUUUAAGUGCGGGGCUCAACCCCGUGACGCACUGGAAACUGGGGAACUUGAGUGCAGAAGAGGAGAGCGGAAUUCCACGUGUAGCGGUGAAAUGCGUAGAGAUGUGGAGGAACACCAGUGGCGAAGGCGGCUCUCUGGACUGUAACUGACGCUGAGGCGCGAAAGCGUGGGGAGCGAACAGG